UCCGGAACACCCUCGCUAUAGACCGUGUCUCGCAAGCUCCAUCGCGAGCUAAACUGCUCGCGCCGCAUGCUCUAUUUCUUGCUCGCGUCGCACAACUCUGUCGCUUCUAGUUUGCUUGUUGCGCCUGACUUUUUCUUACAUUUUUUAUUCUGUUGCUCUGUCUUUCUUCUUUCCGAUUUCACAGCUUCGUUCCACUUUCAAAUCUUGCAUUCUUUCUUUUCAAUUCUUUAUUUCUUCUUUGUCACUUAUUUGCAUUUUGUUUCAUUUGUCUUCUUUCUUCCUCAUUUGUUCUUUUUUUGUCAUCAAAUAAUCAAAGGCCCCUUGUUAUAGUGCAUAAAAUACACAUUAAAUAUUUACUUUGCUUCAAAUUUUGUCUUCAAUAUAACUACACAUAAAAUAAACUCAAUUAAGCACAAAUAUAGUAUAAUUUAGCAUUAAAUUACCAAAAUGUAAGAUAAGUAAUGCACUGAAAAUAUGUAAUUAUAGCCAAACAUCACUACCCCACGCUUAAACUUUGUCCGUCUUCGAGUCAACUAACAAAUCAUACUAUCCUUGAGCACUUUUUUUUUUACAUAAUUGAGGCACACUACACCAAUGACCAUGGUUGAUAGCAACAAUUAAACCUUAGCAUAUGCAAUCACAUACACUUCCCUUUUUCUUAUGCCGACUUCAAAAAUAUUCAAACAAAGACAACAUGUUCAUAACAAUCCUAGCCUCAAAAACCAACUCAAUGUCAUAAUGCACUCAUGGCUUGAACACCCAAUAUCAUAGAGAGAAGUCUAAUAAUGUUACCUAUCCCUCAUGAAACCAUGUGCCCUCAAACUAAGAACAUAAUGCACUCAGCUUGAACAUCCAAUAUCAUAGAGAGAAGUCUAAUAAUGUUACCUAUCCCUCAUGAAACCAUGUGCCCUCAAACUAAGAACAAGAGAGUAAGUUGAAUCCACACAUUCGAAUCUCAUGAUCAAAUAUAAUUUAAGGACUCAUAUAUAUCAAAGAAAAUCUCUCACUCUCACAAAGAAGUCGCAUGCAUGCAAUUGGUACCAUAGGCUUGCCCAUAAUGUAAAUCUCUACUAAUGUAGGCUCAUUUGAUCUAAAAUCAAUUAGUACUUUUUUAUGGUUGUAAUGUGGGCUAAGGGACGAGUAGGAUGUUGUAUAUGGUCAAAAUCAGGUGCCCCCGAUUUAGCAGGCUCGAGACUCCGCACCGAGGGUUGAAUUCGGUAAAGACCGAAGACAGAAUGAGUGGCUCGAAAACCUAAAUGUUCGAGGGUAUUGGAUCCAAGUAUGGCCAAGUUCGAGAUAGAGCCGUUAUGAGUUUGUUACAGAAGGACAAGAUUCUCACCACGUCCCUAAAAUCACGGCAUAAAUUCUAGGAUAGAUUUGUACGAAUCCGUACCAGGCGGUUAUACAGCUAUCCAAAUAAGAUUCCUUACUGUAAAUAGAAAUGUACCUUAUUUAAGGCUCCCCUCCUAUAUAAAGGGGACCCAAUCAUUUUGUAAAGACCAUCUAAUCAUUGGCAAAGAAUAUACUAUCCUGCUUUUCUCUCUUACUGUUCAUAAGCAUUGUCCUUUACAUUUAUUGUUCUUAUUUUAUUGCUCUUAGUUCAUCUCGAGGUCACUAAGCUCGAGGUCACCGCUGCUGAGUAACAUUUGUUUGGUUCACUUAUUCCUUUCAUUUCUACUUUAUAUUUCUUGAUUAUUAAUUAGUACUAAAUCACAUAUCUUUAAAACCACAAAUCAAAUUAAAUUGUUACUCGUAUUUUCGAGGUACACAAUUUGGCGCCCACCUUGGAGCUAAAGAUAAUAGUGAUUAUUUCAUUACUGAUUCUCAAUACACACGUUGUUUUUACACUUUUUCUUGUCAAGAAUUUUUUAUUCUCAAGCCGAAACAUGUCUAGCUCACAACACGCACAUGUUCAUGAUAACGAAGGUCUUGGAGAAAAUAACAUAGGGGUCGGUGUACCACCAAUAAACCCUGGGGAAGUCUUACGAUAAGGAGAGACUUGAAAAACUCAACUAUACUACGACAAACUCUGACACCAACUAAAAGAAUCAAUGCUACUAAACAUGACUAUAAAGUACAAGACAACAAAAAACAGACUCAAUAAAUAAAUAAAUAUAAUCUCCUUAAGCAACUCCUGCAUGCAACGGUUCUGACAAAGAGGGUCCUUGAGCGUCUGUCAUACUCAAUCUCUGGUAAGUAGAUCCACAUUUGUAUGAGAAAAAUAAGACCAAAUAGAGUUAAAGACUUAGAACACUAUGUGAGACAAUAAGACUUCCUAUUGGACACAUGCAAGAUAUGAUUGAGGCUAUUUUGCAAAAUGGCUUAUGCGUCCAAAAGGUGGUUAGAAGUGCAAACUCAACAAAAGUGACCUCUAAGACAUGAAAAAAUUACUUUGCAGAAAUGACCCAUUUUGUAGAAAUGGCCUAUGUGGCCAAAAAAAUGGCUAAGCGUGCAAGUUCAAUAGAAUGGACCUUAAACAGAGAGGACACUUUGUUGUGGACUUAGGACUCUAAGACAUGGGUUAACAACUGCUUUUGCAAAAAUGGCCCCACUUUGCAAGAACGGCCGACGCAGCCUAAAAGUGGCAAGAUAUGCAAAUUCAAGAAGGACGGACCUUAAAAUAAGGAGAUAGCUAAUUGUGGAUUAAAGUCUCUCCAAACACAAUUAAACAAGCCACUUUGCGAAAAUAGCCCUAUUUUGCAAAAAGGCCAAUGUGGCCAAAAGUGGCUAAAGAUGCAAGAUUUGGCUACGACUCUCGAAGCCAAGAACCUAAGACUCACUAAGAAGACUGGACCCUAUGUGGGUUGACUACGUAUCACGCCCCGAAAGACGAGAAUCAGGUAUGCGUAGUUCAGGAAGUUUGGAUACGAGCGAGAAUAAAAAAAUAACUGAUUUGGAGAAAACAUAUUUUUUGUCUUUUUUUUUGAAAAAUGAUGAAACAUGUAAACUAUUUUUGGAUUUUCUUUUCCACUUUUUUUUUGAUUUUUUUUUCCGGAAAAUGAUGGGAAAGUGCAAAAACUUUUUUGGGAUUUUUCAUUUUUUUGUCUUUUUCGUAAAAUAAAUAUGAAAGAAAAACAUAACUGGGCCCUACUUGCUUUAUUUUCACACUUCAUCCUCUUUUCUCUCUCAUUUACUCUCAACCAUCAUUGGUCCGCAAAAUUAUCCUUUUUACCCUUGAAGAAUGGAACAUGUAGCACAUAAGAUACAUCAGGAUGAUCUUUUAUUUUUGGGUACACAUGUCCUAGACGGACCCAACCCUUGUGUUGAGUCCCCAAAGUUAAAUGCACAUGAAGAAAACAACGUUCCUACUGGGAAUUUGGCAUGAGGUUAUGUCAUUCUAGGUUGAAAUCUGGGGGUGUGUUCUAGACAUGGCUUACCCGAGCGGAUAGCUCGAGCCGAGGUGGGGGCAACGUACCGGGAACACGAAAGUCUACCCGGACUUGUUGCUGACCCAAGCCUGUUCUAUUUGGUAUGACUUCUAACAAAAAAAGGGCCACGCAUACGUGUGCACCAUAUUUUUAGAAGACUUAAAAGGGAGGUAUAAGAAGCCAGUUUAAUACAUUUCAAAUAAUAUCAAAGUAGUAAAAUAAGCGGCAUUUAGCACAUUAGGUCCACAAAUACAAUAAUAUCAACAGACAAUAAAGCCAAGCAUAGAUCAUAUUAACAAGCUCGAAUUCUGAACCCUGAACCAGAAGUUUUGGGUUCUUUUCCCCAGUAGAGUCGCCAGAGCUGUCACACCUCCUUUUUCCCGAGGAUGGGGAUAUAAGAGAGUUUUUCUAAUUAAAGUGACAUAAUCGAAAUGGGAUUAUUUAUUAAAUUCAGAGUCGCCACUUGGGAUAAUUUAUAGUGUCCCAGGUCACCAGUUUAUUUUAAAUCCCAAAUCGAGGAAAGUGACUCUAUUCCCGAGUUCUGUAGUUCUAGCACGGACUCUCUAUACUUGGAUCAAUUAAAUUGUCUAAUUACUUAUUAUAGAACCUAUGUGCAUUUUCACUUUACCACUUUCAAUUAAGAAAUUAACCUGAAACGAGUCACGCAUACGUGUACUCAUUUCGUUUGGCGCGUCAAGAAUCAUGUCACACGUACAUGUCCACAAUUAAUCACACUUUAUUAUUAUUAAGAUUAUUUGGCCAAAGUCACGCGAACGUGUACCUUAGUUUUAAGUUUAGAAAAAUCAUAAUUAUAUUAUGCGAACGUAUACAUAAUCACGAUACUAAAUUAAAAGCGCGCUUAAAGGUAUACUAGGUGUUCAUCAUUCUUCCUAAACUUUGAGACUAUUGUAAGGCAUGCAUUAUAGAAUUAGAAUAACAAUUAAAUCAUGAAGAUUAAAAGUUAAGCUAUAAUCUAAAUCCAGCAAACUUUAGCAGAAUAAUACCUUUUUAAUACUAAAGGCAAAUGGAUCCAAAAGUCUCGCUAGUAAUUUUAAUGACAUAAAGACGGACAAAGAUAACAAAAACAAAGCUGCAACUUUAAGUCGGACAUCAUCUAAUCAUUCACCUACCAAAACAGUGACUAAGCCCAACAUACCAUUUUGCUCAUCUUUAGGCCAUUCACUACAGCAUUUUCAGAUGUUAUAGACUUGAGGUUCAAGACGAGUCCAACCUAUAGGCAAUAGAACUAGUAAAUUCUAUUCCAAAAUCAUGCAUAAAUUAGAUUACAAGUACAUACUCCAAAAGAUUGACUACAUAAGCUAUUGAGUCCUCAAAAUGCCACAUUAUGCAAAAGACUUGGAAUCAAAUUCAAGGAAUUCACAAAUCAAUAGGAUAAUUAACAUUGUAUUACUUCAUUUCAAACCAACAGACAAUACAAAAUAAUCAUUUAUAGCAACCAACCAAAAAUAUGACUUGUAACUAUAAUAAGAAUAGAGAUGGACCUUAGGAAGAAUUUUACUUUUGAGCUUUACAGUAGGUGAAUCCAAAGGCAAACAAGAAACCAAUACAGGACCUCGAAGAAGCGAAAUCUUGUCGGACGACACUCGAACCUCGACGGAACUACCAGACAGGGCUUCAGACAGGACCUCAAGCAACAAACUCAAACACUGACAUCUCUAGCGAGAUCUCGAAAUCAAAACAAAAGGGCGGAAAAUACCGGACUCCAAUUGAUAAAAAAGAAUAGCAGAAGCAGCUAUUUGGAGAAUUAUUUGGACUGUGUAAGGGUGUCGGAAACGGUGAUUACGGCGGCAAGAAACAAAACACGAUUUCGUCAGCGUUAAUGGAGGUUGCCGGAAUUUCUCUUUUUCGGUCAGAUCCAGACCUGGACAGAUUUUGACCUUAUUUUUACGCACAAAUCCAAAUGGCGACGCUACUCUAUGGACUCGCUGCUGCUAGUGGUGUUGCUACUCGCCGGUGAUCAAUUCCGGCGAGGAACCAGUUCGAGCGACGAGGCUAAAGGGGAAGGAGAUACUAUCGUCUCUCACUGUUGAGAGGAAAAUGAGAGAGGGAGUUUUUGAGUUUGCGACUGAUGGGAUCUUAGGUUUGCUGUGUGCUGAUGGCUUACGUUAGGUUGUGAAGAAGAUGAAGUUAAGGGG
rnacentral:lncRNA from 1 species